rnacentral:rRNA from 1 species
AACGAACGCUGGCGGCAGGCUUAACACAUGCAAGUCGAGCGCCCCGCAAGGGGAGCGGCAGACGGGUGAGUAACGCGUGGGAACGUACCCUUUGCUACGGAAUAGCUCCGGGAAACUGGAAUUAAUACCGUAUGUGCCCUACGGGGGAAAGAUUUAUCGGCAAAGGAUCGGCCCGCGUUGGAUUAGCUAGUUGGUGGGGUAAUGGCCUACCAAGGCGACGAUCAAUAGCUGGUCUGAGAGGAUGAUCAGCCAAAUUGGGACUGAGACACGGCCCAAACGCCUACGGGAGGCAGCAGUGGGGAAUAAUGGACAAUGGGCGCAAGCCUGAUCCAGCCAUGCCGCGUGAGUGAUGAAGGCCUUAGGGUUGUAAAGCUCUUUCACCGGAGAAGAUAAUGACGGUAUCCGGAGAAGAAGCCCCGGCUAACUUCGUGCCAGCAGGCGCGGUAACAC